CUACAGCUGCUUCGAGUACAGAGAUGACCGUGGAUGGCAACCCCCAUGCCAGGGCGUUUCAAAGCAGGGGUUCCUGAUUUUGUGUUCAGCUGGCAUUCCUAAAAAAAGCAGGACAGCUCUGAGCGAGGACUUUGCUAAGGGAGAGAGGAAAUCCCAGCUCAACAUCAUAAUGAGCUGGGGGACAUGAUAUUGAAUUGCAGAGAACACAAGAAAGGAAAGUAUUUUUAAUCUGCCUGACAGUGCUUCAAGGAUGCGCUUUAUGGUUCACUUGUGCCAUCAUUUCUGAUGGAAGGAAGGAAAAGAACAACCUGAACAAGUGUUCUGAAGGCGACAGGGAAACUCACGUGCAUUUCAACGUCAGUUCGUGAGUGCGUCAGACUCCGGCUUCUUUCCACAUCUGAGAGCAAAUCCCCGGUUGAAAGAUCUAAGAUGCGUGAGUGAAGUUUCUGGUUUGAUGCAGCCAACUCAGCACAGCAAUCACAGAAGUCACGUGUUGAAGAUGGAGCCAGCAGGCAGGAGGAGUCUGGAUUUCUGAAUAGUCAAUGGAAAAGAGCUGCCCUGGGACCAGAAGUACCUCUUUUGGACUUUCCACGAGAAAGAAACCUGCACUGGGUUUGCGCCAUAAAUCAUCUGGGGGGUUGUUUGUUAUCAGGAUUAAUAUUAACUGGCUGAUGUCACCCUUUUCUGAGAUAAGCACUCUAUAGCGAACAGAGCAGUCACUAAAUAAAGACACACAUACACACAUAAAUUCACAUGCACACAUUAUGUAUAUACACACAUUAUAUUCACAUUCAGAAACACAUAUUCACACAUGGAUUUUCAGCUUCAUGGAGAAGAGGCCUACUUUGUGUCACGAUGCAGGGGCAGGGGUGAGGAGCUGUGUGACAAGCCAUGGUGUAGAUCAAUCCACAGUCUGAACACAUGCCUCACAACAGAGUAAGAUACGAUGGUCAGCUUUGGGGACCUGGCAAUGCCAGAGCCGCCGGGGCCAGAAAUACAAGCUGGGGUCAUAAUUUUUGGUGGAUUAAUCUGCCUUCAGUCAGCCAGUUCUUUUUUCUAUUUUACGGUUUUGAAUCUGUAAUUCAAGGCCGAGAAGGACUGCACCUGAGACCAGCUGUGCAUUAUCUGGUGGGAUGGAGGUGGAGUGGCCCCUUUCACAGUAGCCCGGAUGGCUCUGCAGCUCUCCAGCUAACGAUGGCAGCCGAGACUGAGACCAAGAUGCUUAGUGAAGGCUUGUUGCAUUUAACAGAAUUCUGCCUUUGGAUUUUUGCUCAGUACCGAGACGAUGUCACGACUGGAAAGCAGUGAUUGCUGAGGCCAGGGCGACACUGAGUCCUUAUUUAGUGACACAAGGAUUUCAGAUGUAAAGAGGAACAUACAGAAAGGAUUGUUUAACCAUCGCUCCCUUAUCUUCAUUCAGAUCUGGCUGAUUUCUUGGAUGAAGAAUUUACUGCUUCGUCAGCCGUGGCUUUGUUUUCACAUUGUCCUGCCUCCACCUUGGAGAUCUGACCUCAACUCACAGCUUCCGGAGAGCUUCCUAGAGCCCCACCGCUGCUCCCUCAAUUCAGCCCAUGCUGGUCCCCAGGCAGUGUGUUUCAUCCCCUUUUAUCCCAGCACAAGGGAAGCCAGUCUGGAGUACGGAAUUCUGAAAUCCUACGAGCAUCUUUGGAUUUUGCCAAUUUCAUGGCUUUUCCUUGCCCUGAGGUCCUGCUGGGAGAGGACCAGCGAGAUGAUGGAUGAGGAUAUAAACAGCAGACCUUGCCCUCAGGAGUCUCCACUCUAAUUAGUCCAACAAGAAGCAUUCAUGAAGCAUCUACUAUGUAAGAGUCCUGCCUAUGAACUAUGAACAGACUCAAAGAAGCCCGUUAGUGGAGCCUAUGAUAUGAAUGAGGUGCCCGGACACACAGAUGAGAAAAAAACAGACAAUUUUAAGGCAGGAUAUGCAAAAGAGGUCAUGGUACAGGAAGAGUGAUACGGAGACGGGGCGGUGAGGGUAGGGGUCAGUGUGGCAACACAGUUAAAUAUAAGUAAGAUAAUAUUCUGUGCAAUAAAGAUUCAGGCCAUACGGGCUUAGGUCUCCCUGUCAAGCUCCCAAAUCCCUUGGUCUCUUUACAUAAACAAACAAAAAGGAAUCAGAAGUAUUUAACAUGUAACAGCAAAGUGACAGGUGUUGGGAAACAGGAUGUAUGGUAAGGGCUUCAGCUCACUCAGACCUGGGAAGAGCCAGUCCCUAAGAGUGGUUCACACCUGCCUCCCAAUCCUAAAACUCUUUGAAGCUUCUCUUUUGUCUUUUUCUGUGACUCUGAUCUGAGAGAGGAAGUGAUUCAGCACAGUCUGAGCCUAUUCUGGGAUCUAAGAGAUACAGAAGUGCCUUGAAAUUUCCAUUUUUAUCACUAAUUACUUUAACAGGUACUUUAAUAAGUGCUUUCCAAUUGCCCCUGCUGUUUUGUAAAAUUAUCUACACUGCAUUUUAUAUUUUUAAUCAAGCUUGAUUUUUGAAAACUCUCCUGGAUUUCUGAAGCUUUUUGACUUUUACAUGUGGGGGAACAAAUUUUUCCUCUGAUUUCACGGAACUAAACGAAUUAGGGAGAAAAACAACUUGACCUUCUAUUUUUACCAGACUUAUUGGAAAUAGCAUUGACGGUCACUGGAGUCCAGUGCACUGUUUAUUAAGAAGAAAUGAUUUACCUCCUGCCCUAUGGGGGAAGAAGGGCACUGAGUGGAGUCCCUUCCCUGAUCUUAUCUCAUGAAUCCUCAUGCUAUUGUGUGGAAGAAGCUAAGAUCUUAAUUUUUACGGAUGAAGAACUCAACCAAUACUAAGGAUGCUAUCCAGCGUCACAAGGCUAUAUUCCAGGUACAACGAUGGACAAACGCAGUCCCUGCCGUUAAGGUGCUUGUGGGACAAGCCACCGGGCACCCUCAGUGUCACGUGCCAUGGAAAACUCAGCAGGGGGCUCUGGGAAGGCUUUUCCUGGGAAGCGAUAGCAAUUAGGAGCAGCUGCUGAAAACAAAAUCUGAGCUAGAAAUGACACCAGAAUUUCAAGUCAAAACUGCUCCUCGAUUUCCCCAGCAAAUCCUCUAGUAAGUUGACUAAAGAUUCAGCUGUAACAUCCAAGAGAAAAGUACAUGAUAUGAUAUUACAGACAUCUGUAUGACAGAUUAGGGGGUUUACAACUGCAUCAGAAAAUUCAGUAAAAAGGCAUAUCCUCCACAAGACAUAAAACAAUGCUUCUACCAUUUCUGCUUGAGACUCAGCAGGCACAGAACACUUUGUUCUCAUCAAGCAUGUUCAGUAAACACUAUGAAUUUGUGAACCAGGCACCCAGAAAGAAGGUCGAAAGAGAAAUUCCUAAUCUCCCAGGGUGGAAAUUGUGAAGUAUUAAAUGGAUAUUUGAUGCAUAAAUACAAAUAACAUAAUCUCUCUAUUUUCUUCUGAGACAGUCACCAGUUACCAUAAUCCUAAAAUUAUUCUGUGUUCUCAAAUCCCUACAGAUGUAUUGAUUUUCAUAAACUGCUUUGACGGAAACUUUCUUAAAAGAUGCGAACUAAUCUUUCUCUGAGCUUCCUUUCAUGUGAUAACGUGUGCAACAUUUUCAAUCUCAGAGAAUGCCAAAAGCGAGUUCUUAUUUUUCAGAGGAAUUGGCUAGAGAUCUAUAAAUAACUGUUACAAAGAAAUUAGUUAUAGAUCUAUAAAUAUUACAAAGCGUUACAGAGACAAGAAACUGCCCUGAGACUCAUUUGUGAAACUAUGGGAAAGUUCAAAUUGCCAAGAAGUAAUUAUUAUUUAGAAUUCAGGAUCCAUUUUGAACACUUGUUACUAGUUAGUUAGUUUUAAAGAUAAUAAUUUUCUUCUCAGACUGUAAGUUGGAAACCACAAAUAUUUCUCCUCAAAUGCCCCAUGUUAAUAAUUCCAGGGGCUUCAAAUCAUUUAUUCCAUAUAAAUCUCUGUUUUCUUGUUCAGCUGUUUUCUGUGGGAUGCUGUAGUUCUUUUCAUAAAUACUUUUCUAUUGAUCGAAAACUAAUGAAAUGAGACACCCUCUAACUUGAGUGCAUAAAAGUAUCGUCAUUGUGUUAAGAUGUGAAUCACUUAUUCAGAAAGCUGGUGGUUGAGUCACGGAAGAUAUCUCGUCCAGUGUGUCAUCAAGUGUGAGUUCAGGUCCAUGAGCCACGUUCACUGUAUUACUGAAACACCUCAAUUACCUGGAAUCCAAUGGACCCAAACCCUUGAUUCGUUGGCAUAUUUAAAACAAAGAAGAUAAUAACUGCAAAGUCAGCUGUUCAACAUUCAGUGUAAAUCCUGGGUUCAGGUUCACAAAUUAGCUACUCUCCCAGACAGCACAUGGCCCCAGGUGUUAUACUGCUCGGGUUCAGAUUCUGGCUUUGUGUGGCUUGGGGCAAUUACUUCAUCUUUUAAGUCUUAGUUUCCUUCAUAGAUAAUAAUAACAAUAUUAGUUCACAGGAGUUUAUGGAAGACUGGAUGCUCAAGAGAAGAAACUCCCGAAUUUAUAAGGCUGUGAUAGGGACUCCAUUCAUUAAAAUGCUUGGGACAUAUUAAAUGCUCAAUAAAUGUUAGCUUUUUUCAGGA